GUAGGUGAACCUGCGGAAGGAUCAUUACAGAGAACAUGCCCCUCAGGGUAGAUCUCCCACCCUUUGUUUACCUCCCCCAUUGCUUUGGCGAGCCCGUCCAUAGACCACCGGCGAUAGCUGGUCAGUGCCCGCCAGAGGACCUGAAAUUCUUAUCUAAUGUUAGUCUGAGUAAUACAUAAUAAUUCAAAACUUUCAACAACGGAUCUCUUGGUUCUGGCAUCGAUGAAGAACGCAGCAUCUGACUGACUGG
rnacentral:misc_RNA from 1 species